AGAGAGUUGAGUCAGGAUAUAUUUGACAUUAAAAUAUUAAUCUAGGCUGCAAAGCCCCAUGCAGUGGUUUCUGAGAAUCCAUGAAUCCCCUGACACUGAAGCAGUGAAGCAUAUGUGUUGUGUGUGUUUUUCAGUAGGAGACCAUCAUCUCAAUAGAUUUUCAAGAUUUACAAUUCACCGGGCCCACGGUGCGACCGCUCUCCCACCCCCUCUCCGCCACCCCUCCACCCCACGCCCCCACCCCCGCGACUGGGGUCCGCACGGGAGGGGGCGGGGCAAACUGUCCCCAGUGCGCCCCGGGCGGGUAACGCCAUGGGGCCUGGGGGGUUGGUUUCUCUCAGGCCACACGCGCGUCCCCCGAAGAGGGGACGGCGGAGCGAGCGCACGGGGUUGGCGGCGAUGUCGGCUACCCACCCGACCUGUCUUGAAACACGGACCAAGGAGUCUAACAGGCAGUAAAGAGAAACCAGGCCACACCUUGGAAACUGCUCAGAAAUCAACUCAGGAUGUGUGCCCAGGAGGACUGCGUGAAAGCUCUUUUUUUGCAUAUUGCCUGAACCGUGGGGAUAUGAAGUCCACAGACUUGGCAUCUUGAGAUGUGGAACCAUCCAGCUCUACAGUCCUUCAGAAAGAUCCUAGGGUCCUCAAGAACAAAGUAUACAGCCAGGUCCAGAUUUAAAAGCAGAGACUACGUAAAAGGAAUUCAUCCAGUUCAUCAACUAUGAGAUAUUUAUUACUUAUUUGUGUACCAUGAGUUAAACACCGCUGUAGGUAACAAAGCUAAUAAGACCCAUGAAAUGGUUUGGGGACUGAAGUGAUCUUGCUAAGUGCUUCUUUUCUUUCUUGUUCUUUCUUCUGCUUCUCCUUUUAACUCACGGUGGCCUGAGUAUGCAGGUUUGACACAGUGUGAAUUUGUUCCACUGUCCAUCAUCCAAGUUUGUUCUGUUUCAUGGUCUCAAAAUGCAACAAGCUUUUCGAGACUUGGCUUUGGACCAGAAGAGACAACAAAGGAUUCUCUAACCUGGAAUAAAUGUAUGCUAGAAAACCAUGCAGAGGUUACCAGGCACUAGGAUUUUUGUUUUGUUUUGAUUUUAUCAAAGGUAAGGAUUGAGCUUCGGAGGAAUUUCAAAAAAGAUAAAGACCUUAGAAUAUGUGGUCCUGACUCCACACUGCUGCAUUUCCCUUGGGACUCUAUUACCACCCCCUUUAUUCCCCUGAGAAAGAGUCCUCUUUAAAAGUCUGGAUAAACUCAGACGAAACCUUUAAUAAAGGUGGGUUGGCAAAUGCUAUUUCAGAACAAUAUGAAAAUAAGUAAAAGUAUGAGAAAUAGCUCUGAAGCUCAUCAGUUAUAGCACUUCUGAUUUGUGGGAUCCUGGAAAAGUCAUUUAUACUCUUUUAAAUUCUUUCUUCUCUUCUGGAAAAUAAGGUUAGUACUUAUCUUGGGCCAGGUAUGGUAGCUUAUGCCUGUAAUUCCAGUGCUUUGAAAGUCCUAGGUGGAAGGAUCACCUGAGGCCAGGAGUCUGAAACCAACCUAGACUACAUAGUAAG
ensembl:lncRNA